AAGUGUUAACAGCUCUUUUAGAAUUCGUCUUGCAGGUUUUCUGGCUUUUAUUGGAAAACUUUU
ensembl:snRNA U7 U7 small nuclear RNA